CAGCCGCCGCGGGAAUACGUAGGUGGCAAGCGUUGUCCGGAAUUAUUGGGCGUAAAGGGCUCGCAGGCGGUUUCUUAAGUCUGAUGUGAAAGCCCCCGGCUCAACCGGGGAUGGUCAUUGGAAACUGGGAAACUUGAGUGCAGAAGAGGAGAGUGGAAUUCCACGUGUAGCGGUGAAAUGCGUAGAGAUGUGGAGGAACACCAGCGGCGAAGGCGACUCUCUGGUCUGUAACUGACGCUGAGGAGCGAAAGCGUGGGGAGCGAACAGGAUUAGAUACCCCUGUAGUCCCUGUCUCUUAUAC
rnacentral:rRNA from 1 species